rnacentral:rRNA from 1 species
UGCGCUUACAAUCCGUCAGAGCCCUCGACGUGUCGUGGGGUGAUGGCGUGCCUUUUGAAGAAUGAGCCUGCGAGUCAGGGACAUGUCGCGAGGUUAACCCGGGUGGGGUAGCCGCAGCGAAAGCGAGUCUGAAUAGGGCGUAUCCACACAAGAGUGUGUGGUGUAGUGGUGUGUUCUGGACCCGAAGCGGAGUGAUCUACCCAUGGCCAGGGUGAAGCGCGGGUAAGACCGCGUGGAGG